AUACGUAGGUCCCAAGCGUUGCGCGAUCUCACUGGGCGUAAAGCGUCCCCAGCCGGUCCGGUAAGCGGAUUGUCAAAACCCGCGGCUCAACCGCGGUAGGGCAACCCGAACUGCCGGACUUGAGGCAAGCCCAGGCAGGCGGAAUCCCCGGUGUAGCGGCGAAAUGCGUAGAUAUCGGGAGGAACACCAAAGGGGAAGCCAGCCUGCUGGGGCUGCCCUGACGGUCACGGACGAAAGCUGGGGGAGCAAACCGGAUUAGAAACCCUAGUAGUCC
rnacentral:rRNA from 1 species